UGGGGAAUCUUCGGCAAUGGACGGAAGUCUGACCGAGCAACGCCGCGUGAGUGAAGAAGGUUUUCGGAUCGUAAAGCUCUGUUGUAAGAGAAGAACGAGUGUGAGAGUGGAAAGUUCACACUGUGACGGUAUCUUACCAGAAAGGGACGGCUAACUACGUGCCAGCAGCCGCGGUAAUACGUAGGUCCCGAGCGUUGUCCGGAUUUAUUGGGCGUAAAGCGAGCGCAGGCGGUUAGAUAAGUCUGAAGUUAAAGGCUGUGGCUUAACCAUAGUACGCUUUGGAAACUGUUUAACUUGAGUGCAAGAGGGGAGAGUGGAAUUCCAUGUGUAGCGGUGAAAUGCGUAGAUAUAUGGAGGAACACCGGUGGCGAAAGCGGCUCUCUGGCUUGUAACUGACGCUGAGGCUCGAAAGCGUGGGGAGCAAACAGGAUUAGAUACCCUGGUAGUCCACGCCGUAAACGAUGAGUACUAGGUGUUAGACCCUUUCCGGGGUUUAGUGCCGCAGCUAACGCAUUAAGCACUCCGCCUGGGGAGUACGACCGCAAGGUU
rnacentral:rRNA from 1 species